rnacentral:rRNA from 1 species
CCUACGGGAGGCAGCAGUGGGGAAUCUUAGACAAUGGGGGAAACCCUGAUCUAGCCAUGCCGCGUGAGUGACGAAGGCCCUAGGGUCGUAAAGCUCUUUCGCCAGGGAAGAUAAUGACGGUACCUGGUAAAGAAACCCCGGCUAACUCCGUGCCAGCAGCCGCGGUAAUACGGAGGGGGUUAGCGUUGUUCGGAAUUACUGGGCGUAAAGCGCACGUAGGCGGACUAUUAAGUCAGGGGUGAAAUCCCGGGGCUCAACCCCGGAACUGCCCUUGAUACUGGUAGUCUUGAGUUCGAGAGAGGUGAGUGGAAUUCCGAGUGUAGAGGUGAAAUUCGUAGAUAUUCGGAGGAACACCAGUGGCGAAGGCGGCUCACUGGCUCGAUACUGACGCUGAGGUGCGAAAGCGUGGGGAGCAAACAGGAUUAGAUACCCCAGUAGUC